AUGAUUGAGGCAUCAUCCAUCACAUUUUUUCACUUCCCUCCACCGAUGCCACAUCAGCAACUGCAACCUCCGUGUUUGUGUUUGCGGCAACGUCCCAGCCUUAAUUGCAACCGUGGUCUCAAGGUCUCAAUCGUUGGGGAAAUUCAAAACAUCGUCGUCGACAUUAGGCUGCGAAUCAGAGGCAUGUGGAGGAGAUUGGUUAGGUUUUGGUUCGUAGGACGUUCAUAG